rnacentral:rRNA from 1 species
GGCUCUAGUAGCGUAUAUUAAAGUUGUUGCAGUUAAAAAGCUCGUAGUCUGACUUCGGGCUGGGCUGUGAAGGCUCACCGCAAGGUGGGACGGAUAGCCUGGCCUUAACCUCUGAUGUGCUCUCUGCUCUUAACUGAGCGGAUCUGUCGCACAGGGGCGUUUACCUUGAGCAAAUUGAGGUGUUCAAGGCAGGCAUAAAUGCUCGAACAAUGUAGCAUGGGAUAAUCUAAUAUGGCCUCGGGUUUACUUUUGUUGGUUGGUGAGCCCGGGCAAUGAUCAACAGGGGCGGUCGGGGUGCUUCAUAUGCAGGCGCUAGAGGUGAAAUUCUUGGACCGUCUGCAGAUGCCCAGAUGCGAAAGCGUUGCACCAGUACGUCCCCA